rnacentral:misc_RNA from 1 species
GUUACCGUAUAACUGUACAUAUAUGCAUUAUUUUGUUGAGUGACAGCUGUAAAGUAAACGAUGAGCAGAGGAGGCGGACCUUCCUUCCUCCUGAAGAUGUCAUAAAGGAUGCAUGAAAUUCCCUUUGCCAUAAAUACAUUAUACGUAUACAAUUAUACAUACAAACAUGUGUCCUGCACUUUUGGAAAACGAAGAGCGAUGCUUGGGAGGCAUGACUUUCUUCGCACAAAGUCAUCCAGUGGAAGUAUGCGGCAGCAAUGGUCUGCCUCUCACGCCAAACUCAAUAACUAUUUAUGGAAAGUCACAAUUUUUAAAGACCAUUUAUCAUUCUCAUCUCUCCCCUUAUCUUGAUAUAAUUAGAAGCAAGCAUGAAAGAAUAGUGGUCGUCGCAGAAUAUAGCGGAGAUCCAUUAAGCACUAAACAUGAUCUAAGUACAGAAGAGAUUAUUAAGAUAUCCUUUCAAUGUCUUUUGGCAUUAAAACAUAUGAAUGAACUAGAUCUGGUACAUAGACAUUUAAGUCCUGAUAAUAUUCUGAUUAAGAAAAAUGGUGAUGUACAGCUAUACAAUUAUGGAUUAUAUUACAUGACAGAUGGUGGGAAAAAUGUAUCCUUUCCAAUUGGUUCACCAAAGUAUACGGCACCAGAAGUAUUCUUAAAUCCUAGUCCAAGUGGUGUUAAGGUAGAUUCAUGGUCAUUGGGAAUGAUUAUAGCGGAACAGUUAUUAGGACAAUCUAUUUGGUCCAGUGUAAAAUUGUCUCAAUGUUUAAGAAAAGUUCUGAGCUUAAUAUUAUGUGAUACCAGUAUAUUUGAACGUCUUGCCAGAGAAAAUAAUUGUUUCCACAUUUAUGAAAAGCUAUCAAAAGAAUUAAAGGAAUUUGUAAAUUCAUGUCUACAAAUUCAUCCUGUUAAACGUAAAACUCCAGAAGAAUUACUGGAAUUACCUAUAUUCGCAGAGUAUUUAAUGAAAAAUGCACAGGAAAAGGAAGAAAAUCUCUAUAAAAAUGUUAUUGUUAGAAAAAUGGACGAACUGUAUUAUUUGUGGCAGUUGGCUGGUGGAGACAUAACUGUGGAUUUAAAAAAACAAGGUCUCAUUAGAUCAAGACCACCUAUUUUAUCUAUCCCAAACUUAGUCAUAUUACUGGGUCAAAUGUUUGGCCAAAGAGAUACCGCUAGCCUACUCGAUAUAAGGAUUGUAAAAGUUCCUAUGGAAACUCUUCGCCAGCGUUUAGCUCAUAUUCCAUACAUAGCAAAUUAUCCUUGGUUAACAAAUCAAAUGCGAGUUCAAGCACAAGAAGACUUGAUGAAUGCCGCCUCCCAAUUACCAUUAAUUAUAAGAGAACGCGACACCGAAUAUCAGUUUUACAGGCUAGUCUUAUUUGAUAGACUCUUACAGGCGUAUCCGCUUACUCAGGAAGCAAUUAUUGAGGAAGCACACAAAGACAUACCACCUCCAGUAAGGGGUGCGGUGUGGGCGGCUUUGCUUGGUGUCACCGGCGAUAUAAAGAAACGUUAUGAUAUGAUCGACAAGGAGACACCCACUCACACUGAUCGACAGAUAGAGGUGGAUAUCCCGAGAUGUCAUCAAUAUAGCGAAUUAUUAUCAUCUGAAGCUGGGCACGAACGAUUGCAGAGAUUAUUAAAGGCAUGGGUCAGGAAUAAUCCGCAUUAUGUUUAUUGGCAGGGACUUGAUUCGCUGACAGCGCCUUUUCUUUAUUUAAAUUUUAAUAACGAAGCUCGAGCAUUCGCAUGUCUUUCUGCCUUUAUACCGAAAUAUCUUCACAAAUUCUUUUUAAAAGACAAUUCGGCAGUGAUACAGGAAUACCUGGGCAAGUUUUCUCAAAUCAUUGCAUUUCAUGAUCCCCAGUUGGCAAAUCAUUUAAAAUCUAUAAAUUUUGUACCAGAACUCUUUGCAAUACCAUGGUUCCUUACAAUGUUUUCACAUGUAUUUCCAUUGCAUAAAAUAUUACAUCUAUGGGAUAAACUAUUACUGGGCGACUCGUCAUUUCCUCUUUUGGUCGGAUUGGCAAUAUUGAAACAAUUGAGAGAUUCCUUAUUGAUGUCGGGUUUCAAUGAGUGUAUUCUCCUGUUCUCCGAUUUGCCCGAGAUCGAUAUAGAACUAUGUGUUAAAGAUUCCAUGACGAUGUAUCAAAAUACACCUGUUAGCAUCACAUAUAGAAAACACCAAUAUAAUACAACAAAGGAUGCAAACUGGAUUGAACCUGAAGCGGGUACUGAAAAAAUGCCAAGGAUAAAUGUAGAUGAUUUUUUAAAUCUCUACAACAACUCACCAAGCAAAAUUAUAGCGGUUGAUAUUCGAAAGAGGCGCUAUUCUAGGCAGCAUUAAUAUCCCAUUUACGAGUGUACAAUUGUCUCAAACUCAUAUCGAGACACUCGGUCCUCAUGCAAAACCAUUGAUAGAUAAUAAAAAUAAUGUUGUUGUAAUUAUUGGACCACACGAUCAAAAUAAUGCACUGUUCGCAGAUUUUCUAGUAAAGUGCAAUGUUGUGGGAGUUUGCUCUCUGCAAGGCGGAAUUAACGCAUUACGAUCCAAAUCUCCAAACAUCAUAGUACCUGCUGCACGCUAAUUGAAUUACGUAAUUACAUUACUGUAUACAAGAUACUCAGAUUUAUUUCUCGAA